rnacentral:rRNA from 1 species
AUUGAACGCUGGCGGCAGGCCUAACACAUGCAAGUCGAGCGAGCGGCGGACGGGUGAGUAAUGUGUGGGAAACUGCCCGAUGGAGGGGGAUAACUACUGGAAACGGUAGCUAAUACCGCAUACUAUCAGAUGUGCCCAGAUGGGAUUAGCUAGUAGGUGGGGUAAUGGCUUACCUAGGCGACGAUCCCUAGCUGGUCUGAGAGGAUGACCAGCCACACUGGAACUGAGACACGGUCCAGACUCCUACGGGAGGCAGCAGUGGGGAAUAUUGCACAAUGGGCGCAAGCCUGAUGCAGCCAUGCCGCGUGUGUGAAGAAGGCCUUCGGGUUGUAAAGCACUUUCAGCGGGGAGGCGUUACCCACAGAAGAAGCACCGGCUAACUCCGUGCCAGCAGCCGCGGUAAUAC